AUUGAACGCUGGCGGCAGGCCUAACACAUGCAAGUCGAGCGGCAGCGACAUGAUAGAAGCUUCGGUGGAAAUCAUGGGCGGCGAGCGGCGGACGGGUGAGUAAUGCCUGGGAAUAUGCCUUGAUGUGGGGGAUAACUAUUGGAAACGAUAGCUAAUACCGCAUAAUGCCUUCGGGCCAAAGAGGGGGACCUUCGGGCCUCUCGCGUCAAGAUUAGCCCAGGUGGGAUUAGCUAGUUGGUGAGGUAAAGGCUCACCAAGGCGACGAUCCCCUAGCUGGUCUGAGAGGAUGAUCAGCCACACUGGAACUGAGACACGGUCCAGACUCCUACGGGAGCAGCAGUGGGGAAUAUUGCACAAUGGGCGCAAGCCUGAUGCAGCCAUGCCGCGUGUGUGAAGAAGGCCUUCGGGUGUAAAGCACUUUCAGUCGUGAGGAAGUGUGUAGUUAAUAGCUGC
rnacentral:rRNA from 1 species